rnacentral:rRNA from 1 species
GGAAUAUUGGACAAUGGGGGGAACCCUGAUCCAGCCAUGCCGCGUGUGUGAAGAAGGCCUUUUGGUUGUAAAGCACUUUAAGCGAGGAGGAGGCUCCUAUAGAUAAUACCUAUAGAGAGUGGACGUUACUCGCAGAAUAAGCACCGGCUAACUCUGUGCCAGCAGCCGCGGUAAUACAGAGGGUGCAAGCGUUAAUCGGAUUUACUGGGCGUAAAGCGUACGUAGGUGGUCUUUUAAGUCGGAUGUGAAAUCCCUGAGCUUAACUUAGGAAUUGCAUUCGAUACUGGGAGACUAGAGUAUGGGAGAGGAUGGUAGAAUUCCAGGUGUAGCGGUGAAAUGCGUAGAGAUCUGGAGGAAUACCGAUGGCGAAGGCAGCCAUCUGGCCUAAUACUGACACUGAGGCACGAAAGCAUGGGGAGCAAACAGGAUUAGAUACCCCUG